rnacentral:rRNA from 1 species
CUCGUAGCUUGCUAUGAGAACAAUUAGUGGCAGACGGGUGAGUAAUGCAUAGGAAUCUACCUAGUAGUAUAGGAUAGCCACUAGAAGUGGUGGGUAAUACUGUAUAAUCCCUGCGGGGGAAAGAUUUAUCGCUACAUGAUGAGCCUAUGUUAGAUUAGCUAGUUGGUGGGGUAAUGGCCUACCAAGGCAGUGAUCUAUAGCUGGUCUGAGAGGAUGAUCAGCCACACUGGAACUGAGACACGGUCCAGACUCCUACGGGAGGCAGCAGUGGGAAUAUUGGACAAUGGGCGCAAGCCUGAUCCAGCUAUGCCGCGUGAGUGAGGAAGGCCUUAGGGUUGUAAAACUCUUUCAGUGGGGAAGAUAAUGACGGUACCCACAGAAGAAGUCCCGGCAAACUCCGUGCCAGCAGCCGCGGUAAUACGGAGGGGGCAAGCGUUGUUCGGAAUUAUUGGGCGUAAAGGGCAUGUAGGUGGUUUGGUAAGUUAAAGGUGAAAUGCCAGGGCUUAACCCUGGAGCUGCUUUUAAUACUGCCAGACUGGAGUCCGGGAGA